UACAGAGGGUGCGAGCGCUAAUCGGAAUUACUGGGCGUAAAGCGUGCGUAGACGGCUAUCUAAGUCGGGUGUGAAAGCCCCGGGCUCAACCUGGGAAUUGCAUUCGAGACUGAAUAGCUAGGGUACGGUAGAGGGAAGUGGAAUUUCCGGUGUAGCGGUGAAAUGCGUAGAUAUCGGAAGGAACAUCAGUGGCGAAAGCGACUUCCUGGACCAGUACCGACGUUCAGGCACGAAAGCGUGGGGAGCAAACAGG
rnacentral:rRNA from 1 species